AAUGAAUUGCCUGAUGAAAAGGAUUACCUUGAUAGGGUAAAUUAUGUAAUACUAUUACAUUCAUUA
rnacentral:tRNA from 1 species